UCAAAUACCUCAUCAGGUUCCUGAAAUUGCCUGCAACAUGUGAUUUGAUGAGGUUACAUACUGACUGGGGAUGUUUAUAAUCUUUGAUUUUAUGUUCACAUUUUAAAUGCGAUUAUCCUUUGUAAAACUUUUUUUGCUCCAGUUCAUCUCGAAUGGAAGGAACUGAGGGUGACAGUUGCAAUUGAUGCUGAAAGGCCAGCAUUAAGGGGAUACCAUGGGUCCUCACAUGUGUCAUUGAAUUCCAUGGUUCUUUCGUCUGUGAAAGGGGGAUUAGUGGGUGCAGGGAGUUGUUCCUCUGUUGUUAGCAUCUGUAGCGCCUUUGCAAUUGUUGGUCGGAGCGAAGGUAUCUCUUGGGUACACAAGAGUCCUAAAUGCACUACUCGCAGAACAUCAUUCUUCACGUUGCUGUUAUGGUGGUUGUGCAACAUUAGGUUUGGGUCAUAAAGCUCUUCCACUGUCCCUGCCUGAAAUUUCUUCCACGUAAGGGUGACUAGACUGUCUGUGUAUUCUGAGGUUUUGCUCCUGUUGUUCUGCCUUCCUGUGACAAUCUCCAACAAAAGCACACCAAAGCUAUAUACAUCUGCUUUUUCUGUUAACUGGCCAUGAGCAAGGUAUUCUGGAGCCAUGUAUCCA
rnacentral:misc_RNA from 1 species